rnacentral:rRNA from 1 species
AAGGAUGAGCCCGCGGCCUAUCAGCUUGUUGGUGGGGUGAUGGCCUACCAAGGCGACGACGGGUAGCCGGCCUGAGAGGGCGACCGGCCACACUGGGACUGAGACACGGCCCAUACUCCUACGGGAGGCAGCAGUGGGGAAUAUUGCACAAUGGGCGAAAGCCUGAUGCAGCGACUCCGCGUGAGGGAUGACGGCCUUCGGGUUGUAAACCUCUUUCAGCAGGGAAGAAGCGAAAGUGACGGUACCUGCAGAAGAAGCGCCGGCUAACUACGUGCCAGCAGCCGCGGUAAUACGUAGGGCGCAUGCGUUGUCCGGAAUUAUUGGGCGUAAAGAGCUCGUAGGCGGCUUGUCACGUCGGAUGUGAAAGCCCGGGGCUUAACCCCGGGUCUGCAUUCGAUACGGGCUAGCUAGAGUGUGGUAGGGGAGAUCGGAAUUCCUGGUGUAGCGGUGAAAUGCGCAGAUAUCAGGAGGAACACCGGUGGCAAAGGCGGAUCUCUGGGCCAUUACUGACGCUGAGGAGCGAAAGCGUGGGGAGCGAACAGGAUUAGAUACCCUGGUAGUCCACGCCGUAAACGUUGGGAACUAGGUGUUGGCGACAUUCCACGUCGUCUGUGCCGCAACUAACGCAUUAAGUUCCCGCCUGGGGAGUACGGCCGCAAGCUAAACUCAAAGGAAUUGACGGGGGCCCGCACAUCAUCGAGCAUGUGGCUUAUUCGACGCACGCAAAAACCUUACCAGGCUUGACAUAUACCGGAAAGC